rnacentral:rRNA from 1 species
GCGGCGUGCCUAAUACAUGCAAGUCGAACGCUUCUUUUUCCACCGGAGCUUGCUCCACCGGAAAAAGAGGAGUGGCGAACGGGUGAGUAACACGUGGGUAACCUGCCCAUCAGAAGGGGAUAACACUUGGAAACAGGUGCUAAUACCGUAUAACAAUCAAAACCGCAUGGUUUUGAUUUGAAAGGCGCUUUCGGGUGUCGCUGAUGGAUGGACCCGCGGUGCAUUAGCUAGUUGGUGAGGUAACGGCUCACCAAGGCCACGAUGCAUAGCCGACCUGAGAGGGUGAUCGGCCACAUUGGGACUGAGACACGGCCCAAACUCCUACGGGAGGCAGCAGUAGGGAAUCUUCGGCAAUGGACGAAAGUCUGACCGAGCAACGCCGCGUGAGUGAAGAAGGUUUUCGGAUCGUAAAACUCUGUUGUUAGAGAAGAACAAGGAUGAGAGUAACUGUUCAUCCCUUGACGGUAUCUAACCAGAAAGCCACGGCUAACUACGUGCCAGCAGCCGCGGUAAUACGUAGGUGGCAAGCGUUGUCCGGAUUUAUUGGGCGUAAAGCGAGCGCAGGCGGUUUCUUAAGUCUGAUGUGAAAGCCCCCGGCUCAACCGGGGAGGGUCAUUGGAAACUGGGAGACUUGAGUGCAGAAGAGGAGAGUGGAAUUCCAUGUGUAGCGGUGAAAUGCGUAGAUAUAUGGAGGAACACCAGUGGCGAAGGCGGCUCUCUGGUCUGUAACUGACGCUGAGGCUCGAAAGCGUGGGGAGCAAACAGG